rnacentral:rRNA from 1 species
AUUGAACGCUGGCGGAAUGCUUUACACAUGCAAGUCGAACGGCAGCACGGACUUCGGUCUGGUGGCGAGUGGCGAACGGGUGAGUAAUGUAUCGGAACGUGCCCAGUCGUGGGGGAUAACGUAGUGAAAAUUACGCUAAUACCGCAUACGAUCUAUGGAUGAAAGCGGGGGACCGCACGACCUCGCGCGAUUGGAGCGGCCGAUAUCAGAUUAGGUAGGUGGUGGGGUAAAGGCACACCAAGCCAACGAUCUGUAGCUGGUCUGAGAGGACGACCAGCCACACUGGAACUGAGACACGGUCCAGACUCCUACGGGAGGCAGCAGUGGGGAAGUUUGGAAAAUGGGCGAAAGCCUGAUCCAGCCAUUCCGCGUGCAGGAUGAAGGCCCUCGGGUUGUAAACUGCUUUUGUACAGAACGAAAAGGUUUCUACUAAUACUAGGGGCUCAUGACGGUACUGUAAGAAUAAGCACCGGCUAACUACGUGCCAGCCGCCGCCGUAA